GGCGCCUACGGGAGGCAGCAGUGGGGAAUAUUGGGCAAUGGGCGCAAGCCUGACCCAGCAACGCCGCGUGAAGGAAGAAGGCUUUCGGGUUGUAAACUUCUUUUCUGAGGGACGAAGAAAGUGACGGUACCUCAGGAAUAAGCCACGGCUAACUACGUGCCAGCAGCCGCGGUAAUACGUAGGUGGCAAGCGUUAUCCGGAUUUAUUGGGUGUAAAGGGCGUGUAGGCGGGAAAGCAAGUCAGAUGUGAAAUCUCAGGGCUCAACCCUGAGCCUGCCUUUGAAACUGGUUUUCU
rnacentral:rRNA from 1 species